rnacentral:rRNA from 1 species
AUUGAACGCUGGCGGCAGGCCUAACACAUGCAAGUCGAGCGGAGCGGCGGACGGGCGAGUACUGCCUAGGAAUCUGCCUGAUAGUGGGGGAUAACGUCCGGAAACGGGCGCUAAUACCGCAUAUUAUCAGCUGAACCUAGGUCGGAUUAGCUAGUUGGUGGGGUAAAGGCUUACAAAGGCGACGAUCCGUAACUUGUCUGAGAGGAUGAUCAGUCAGCCUGGAACUGAGAAACGGUACAGACACUUGCGGGAGGCAUCGGUGGGGAAUUUUGGACAAUGGGCGAAAGCCUGAUCCAGCCAUUCCGCGUGUGUGAAGAAGGUCUACGGAUUGUAAAGCACUUUAAGUUGGGAGGCGUUACCAACAGAAUAAGCACCGGCUAACUUCGUGCCAGCAGCCGCGGUAAUUC